rnacentral:lncRNA from 1 species
CGUCCGCCCCCACCGCCAGCGGCGCGAAGCCGUUCACCCACGCCUCGUAGUUGGCCUCCAUUGCCGAGAACACCUGCUCGAUCUCUCCCUGCUCGAAUCCCCCGUGGUAGUCCUUGUCGUUCAGAAAUCUGACAAAAUUCAACCAUCGGUAAGACUUCUAAUCACUCUUCUUCAAUCAAUUACUCACUCACACACAUUACUUUCCCCUUUCAAAUCAACACUCUGCAUCAUCAUCUGCAUGCUCCUAACCCCAUUCAAACUACAGGUAUCACUGCUUGGUUGAAUGGGUUGGAGAAAGGUGUUUGAGAUGAAAAGAAAACAAGAUUUUGUGGAAGUGUUGAAAUGGAAAAAAAAGCUGGGUUGAAGUUUGAUGUAGGAAAAGAAGUGGAAUUGAAAGAGGUGGGUUCAUGAUUAGCCCCUCCAUUAUGUAGUUUGAAUCCAAACAUACACCAAUUACACUGAGACCACAGUUUUUUUUUACCUCAAACAACAUAAAUCAGUAUGAAAUUGUCAAGUUCCAUGGAUCAAAGAAGGUUGAGAAAAUAAAAUUUAAUCCAAACAUGAAUACAUACAUACAAGUGGUAACAGAAAUUUGAAGCAGAGAGGAAGCAAAAAUGAAGUAACGGAAGAGGAGAGGGUUUGGUUGGGGUACCUGGGGGAGGCGCCGAUGAGGAUGAGUUUGGAGAAGAGUUCGGGGCGGCGGAUGGAGGCGAGCAUGCCGAUCAUGGCGGAGAUGGAGUGGCCGACGUAGGCGCAGCGGGGGACGCGGAGGGCCUCGAGGAUGUUGAGGAGGUCGUCGACGUAGGCGUCAAGGGUGGUGUAGCGGCGGUAGUCGAAGUGGUCGGGGUUGACGCUGCCGGCGCACACCAGGUCGUAGAGAAUGACGCUGUAGUGGCGCGUGAAGUAGGGGAGCACGCGCUGCCAC